UUAAGCGACUAAGCGUACACGGUGGAUGCCCUGGCAGUCAGAGGCGAUGAAGGACGUGCUAAUCUGCGAUAAGCGUCGGUAAGGUGAUAUGAACCGUUAUAACCGGCGAUUUCCGAAUGGGGAAACCCAGUGUGAUUCGUCACACUAUCAUUAACUGAAUACAUAGGUUAAUGAGGCGAACCGGGGGAACUGAAACAUCUAAGUACCCCGAGGAAAAGAAAUCAACCGAGAUUCCCCCAGUAGCGGCGAGCGAACGGGGAGGAGCCCAGAGCCUGAAUCAGUGUGUGUGUUAGUGGAAGCGUCUGGAAAGGCGCGCGAUACAGGGUGACAGCCCCGUACACAAAAAUGCACAUGCUGUGAGCUCGAUGAGUAGGGCGGGACACGUGGUAUCCUGUCUGAAUAUGGGGGGACCAUCCUCCAAGGCUAAAUACUCCUGACUGACCGAUAGUGAACCAGUACCGUGAGGGAAAGGCGAAAAGAACCCCGGCGAGGGGAGUGAAAAAGAACCUGAAACCGUGUACGUACAAGCAGUGGGAGCCUCUUUAUGGGGUGACUGCGUACCUUUUGUAUAAUGGGUCAGCGACUUAUAUUCUGUAGCAAGGUUAACCGAAUAGGGGAGCCGAAGGGAAACCGAGUCUUAACUGGGCGUUAAGUUGCAGGGUAUAGACCCGAAACCCGGUGAUCUAGCCAUGGGCAGGUUGAAGGUUGGGUAACACUAACUGGAGGACCGAACCGACUAAUGUUGAAAAAUUAGCGGAUGACUUGUGGCUGGGGGUGAAAGGCCAAUCAAACCGGGAGAUAGCUGGUUCUCCCCGAAAGCUAUUUAGGUAGCGCCUCGUGAAUUCAUCUCCGGGGGUAGAGCACUGUUUCGGCAAGGGGGUCAUCCCGACUUACCAACCCGAUGCAAACUGCGAAUACCGGAGAAUGUUAUCACGGGAGACACACGGCGGGUGCUAACGUCCGUCGUGAAGAGGGAAACAACCCAGACCGCCAGCUAAGGUCCCAAAGUCAUGGUUAAGUGGGAAACGAUGUGGGAAGGCCCAGACAGCCAGGAUGUUGGCUUAGAAGCAGCCAUCAUUUAAAGAAAGCGUAAUAGCUCACUGGUCGAGUCGGCCUGCGCGGAAGAUGUAACGGGGCUAAACCAUGCACCGAAGCUGCGGCAGCGACGCUUAUGCGUUGUUGGGUAGGGGAGCGUUCUGUAAGCCUGUGAAGGUGUGCUGUGAGGCAUGCUGGAGGUAUCAGAAGUGCGAAUGCUGACAUAAGUAACGAUAAAGCGGGUGAAAAGCCCGCUCGCCGGAAGACCAAGGGUUCCUGUCCAACGUUAAUCGGGGCAGGGUGAGUCGACCCCUAAGGCGAGGCCGAAAGGCGUAGUCGAUGGGAAACAGGUUAAUAUUCCUGUACUUGGUGUUACUGCGAAGGGGGGACGGAGAAGGCUAUGUUGACCGGGCGACGGUUGUCCCGGUUUAAGCGUGUAGGCUGGUUUUCCAGGCAAAUCCGGAAAAUCAAGGCUGAGGCGUGAUGACGAGGCACUACGGUGCUGAAGCAACAAAUGCCCUGCUUCCAGGAAAAGCCUCUAAGCAUCAGGUAACAUCAAAUCGUACCCCAAACCGACACAGGUGGUCAGGUAGAGAAUACCAAGGCGCUUGAGAGAACUCGGGUGAAGGAACUAGGCAAAAUGGUGCCGUAACUUCGGGAGAAGGCACGCUGAUAUGUAGGUGAAGCGACUUGCUCGUGGAGCUGAAAUCAGUCGAAGAUACCAGCUGGCUGCAACUGUUUAUUAAAAACACAGCACUGUGCAAACACGAAAGUGGACGUAUACGGUGUGACGCCUGCCCGGUGCCGGAAGGUUAAUUGAUGGGGUCAGCGCAAGCGAAGCUCUUGAUCGAAGCCCCGGUAAACGGCGGCCGUAACUAUAACGGUCCUAAGGUAGCGAAAUUCCUUGUCGGGUAAGUUCCGACCUGCACGAAUGGCGUAAUGAUGGCCAGGCUGUCUCCACCCGAGACUCAGUGAAAUUGAACUCGCUGUGAAGAUGCAGUGUACCCGCGGCAAGACGGAAAGACCCCGUGAACCUUUACUAUAGCUUGACACUGAACAUUGAGCCUUGAUGUGUAGGAUAGGUGGGAGGCUUUGAAGUGUGGACGCCAGUCUGCAUGGAGCCGACCUUGAAAUACCACCCUUUAAUGUUUGAUGUUCUAACGUUGACCCGUAAUCCGGGUUGCGGACAGUGUCUGGUGGGUAGUUUGACUGGGGCGGUCUCCUCCUAAAGAGUAACGGAGGAGCACGAAGGUUGGCUAAUCCUGGUCGGACAUCAGGAGGUUAGUGCAAUGGCAUAAGCCAGCUUGACUGCGAGCGUGACGGCGCGAGCAGGUGCGAAAGCAGGUCAUAGUGAUCCGGUGGUUCUGAAUGGAAGGGCCAUCGCUCAACGGAUAAAAGGUACUCCGGGGAUAACAGGCUGAUACCGCCCAAGAGUUCAUAUCGACGGCGGUGUUUGGCACCUCGAUGUCGGCUCAUCACAUCCUGGGGCUGAAGUAGGUCCCAAGGGUAUGGCUGUUCGCCAUUUAAAGUGGUACGCGAGCUGGGUUUAGAACGUCGUGAGACAGUUCGGUCCCUAUCUGCCGUGGGCGCUGGAGAACUGAGGGGGGCUGCUCCUAGUACGAGAGGACCGGAGUGGACGCAUCACUGGUGUUCGGGUUGUCAUGCCAAUGGCACUGCCCGGUAGCUAAAUGCGGAAGAGAUAAGUGCUGAAAGCAUCUAAGCACGAAACUUGCCCCGAGAUGAGUUCUCCCUGACCCUUUAAGGGUCCUGAAGGAACGUUGAAGACGACGACGUUGAUAGGCCGGGUGUGUAAGCGCAGCGAUGCGUUGAGCUAACCGGUACUAAUGAACCGUGAGGCUUAACCUU
rnacentral:rRNA from 1 species